UCCGAAUUGGUGUAGUGGCUAACAUUUGACGCUCUCAAGUUCUUCUCUCCAGAAGAAUUCGGAACCGUCAAGCCCGGGGUUCGAUUCCCCGAUUCGGAG